UACGAAGGGGGCUAGCGUUGCUCGGAAUCACUGGGCGUAAAGCGCACGUAGGCGGAUUGCUAAGUCAGGGGUGAAAUCCUGGAGCUCAACUCCAGAACUGCCUUUGAUACUGGCGAUCUCGAGUCCGGGAGAGGUGAGUGGAACUGCGAGUGUAGAGGUGAAAUUCGUAGAUAUUCGCAAGAACACCAGUGGCGAAGGCGGCUCACUGGCGCGGUACUGACGCUGAGGUGCGAAAGCGUGGGGAGCAAACGGG
rnacentral:rRNA from 1 species